ensembl:lncRNA
AAAUUAUGACCAACCUAGAAAGCAUACUAAAAAGCAGAGACAUACUCAGUCUUGCUGAAUUGAGCCGGUGCAGCCACGGCUACUUUGUAGCGGGGUCGGGCCCCACCCAGACUGCGGCGGCUACAGCAGAUCUUGAACCAACCGUGGGCCUGGGGAGUUUAUCUCCAGCUACUGGCGGCUGCAGCGGCCUGAGUACUAAGCACAGGUUGAAAACUACAGGUACAAGCCAUUGAAGCCAGGAUGCUCUCUGAUGCUGGUAUUCUAACUGACCUACACCAACUAUAUCACUCUGCAGUGUACAACACACAAGUGAGUCUAAUGAGGCCAGCUAUUCUCACAUAACUUGUAGCAGCGAUGGAUCUGCACUGGCAUAGGAGUUGGGUCAGUGGGAUAAUGCUGGUGGUUUAAUUCUCCCAGCUUUAUGAAGUGGGUAGUGUAAAAUUAUAGAUGAAGCAAUAGUUCAGGUAGUGAAUUAAUAUUCCAUCACAUAUGCAUAGCCCUCAACAAGGAACCUCAUGUACCUUUUUGGCUAUGUAAACUAUGGAAAGUCCUGUAUCUCUCUUGAGAUUUAGUGUCCUUGUUUAACAGUAGAAGUAUUCAAAUAGAGAUUAGGCCAUUUGGGGAGGGAGUUAGGAUUAGAGGCUUACUAAGAAUAUAUGUCGAAAUUUGGCACAAAGGGACCAUUCUUCAGCAUGUUAAAUGUUGCUGAUGAAUGUAGCACAGUGCUCUGUAAGAAGGAAUUUAAAGGACACAAUGAUGCUAGAUGGUUAGAAUUCUGAAAGUAUUGGAGGUGAUGGGAAAGUUUUCAUAUAGGAAGAAAUGUCAGUGUAGCAAAAUUAACAGCCCAGUAGGAGCUAGGAAUUCUUCCUGUUGAUCAGCACUGAAUGUUUGCAAAUACCUCAUUUUCCAGAAAUCUUAAAGGUAUUCGCCUAGGAUUCACUCUUAAUGCUUAUUUCAAAACAUUGUUUUAGCCUCUGUGUAAACUUCAUUUUUUUAAUAUUCCAUAUUCUGUAAAAUCUAGCCUCCUAAUAUCGGAAUUUCAACAAAUACAUUGUAAAAGCAUAAUUGCUAGAGGGAAAAAACAAGGGAAAUAGGAAAGGCGUGUGUAUGCACUGUGAGUGGAGGACAUAAUUUCAGAUAGAGCUGGCUGAGACUAACUACAGAAGACCUGAAAGGGCUGCAGAGGGUAACAUGGCUGUUACAGUCAACCUUUGAGUAACACGGAUUUGAAUUUCAUGGGUCCCCUUAUUCACAGGUAUUUUCAGUAGUAGAUACUAUAUGGUUGAAUUUAUGGAUGUGGAGGGCCAUCUAUAAAUUAUUCAGAAUAACUCCUUUAUUAUACAAAGGUCAACUGUACAUAUUUGGAUGAAGAGGAUUUCAGGUAGAGGGAAAGCAAGUGCAAAGGCCCUGGGGAGGGAUAUGUUUAAAGGUUUGUGGGGAAAGCAUGGUGAAGCUGCAGAGAAGUGGCCUUAAGUGUGUGUGCAGGGCUAGGGUGGAUAUUUGAGACCAUUCUAAGACGGCAGCUUGCUUUCUGGCCUGUCAGACCUUGGAAUGCUAUCACUUAACCUACAAUGCCCCCUGCCAUCCGUAUACUUUCCCACGUUUCUAUUAAGUGCUAUCUUCCCUCCCCAGUGCUCUUAUUCUGGAUUUCUAUAGCACCUUGUAAUGCCCUUAUACUUGGAAGCACAUUUUGUGGUUUCUUGUGAGCUUGCCUACCUGCCCCUGCCAAUAAAAUCCAUCUUGGUUUCUACCA